rnacentral:rRNA from 1 species
GAUGAACGCUGGCGGCGUGCCUAAUACAUGCAAGUCGAGCGAACAGACGAGGAGCUUGCUCCUCUGACGUUAGCGGCGGACGGGUGAGUAACACGUGGAUAACCUACCUAUAAGACUGGGACAACUUCGGGAAACCGGAGCUAAUACCGGAUAAUAUAUUGAACCGCAUGGUUCAAUAGUGAAAGACGGUUUUGCUGUCACUUAUAGAUGGAUCCGCGCCGCAUUAGCUAGUUGGUAAGGUAACGGCUUACCAAGGCAACGAUGCGUAGCCGACCUGAGAGGGUGAUCGGCCACACUGGAGCUGAGACACGGUCCAGACUCCUACGGGAGGCAGCAGUAGGGAAUCUUCCGCAAUGGGCGAAAGCCUGACGGAGCAACGCCGCGUGAGUGAUGAAGGUCUUCGGAUCGUAAAACUCUGUUAUUAGGGAAGAACAAAUGUGUAAGUAACUAUGCACGUCUUGACGGUACCUAAUCAGAAAGCCACGGCUAACUACGUG